AUCACCUGCGUUAACCUAACACAAGAGAAUCUCAAGAAAGAUUAAAAAAAGCGGAAGGAACUCGGCAAACCUCAGCCCCGCCUGUUUACCAAAAACAUCGCCUCUUGCCUCAAUAAGAGGUCCCGCCUGCCCAGUGACCCAAUUCAACGGCCGCGGUAUCCUGACCGUGCGAAGGUAGCGUAAUCACUUGUUCUUUAAAUAAGGACUAGUAUGAACGGCACCACGAAGGCUGUACUGUCUCCCGCCUUUAAUCAGUGAACUUAAUCUCCCCGUGAAGAAGCGGGGAUAUAACCAUAAGACGAGAAGACCCCAUGGAGCUUAAAACAAACGGCACCUGCUAACAACUAAGUUAAGCACCUUGACCGUACGUUUUCGGUUGGGGCGACCGCGGAGAACAACCCACCCUCCAUGCUGAAAGAUAACAAUCUUAGCCAAAACAACCCAUUAAAGCACCAGAAUCCUGACAUUCAUUGACCCAAGCUAUUUGAUCAACGAACCAAGUUACCCUGGGGAUAACAGCGCAAUCCACUUCAAGAGCCCCUAUCGACAAGUGGGUUUACGACCUCGAUGUUGGAUCAGGGUCCCCAA
rnacentral:rRNA from 1 species